UUUGUGUCUGUCUGUGUUUGUGUCUGACCGUGUGUGUGUGACUGUGUGUGUGUCCGUGUAUGUGUCUGACUGUGUGUCUGACUGUGUGUGUGUGUAUGUGUCUGACUGUGUGUGUGUGUGUAUGUGUCUGACUGUGUAUGUGUAUGUGUCAGACUGUGUGUGUGUUUGUGUCUGACUGUGUGUGUGUUUGUGUCUGUGUUUGUGUGUUUGUGAGUGUGUGCGCGUGUGUCUGACUGUAUGUGUGUGUGUUUGUGUCUGACUGUGUGUGUGUCUGACUGUGUGUGUGUGUGUUUGUCUCUGACUGUGUUUGUGUCUGACUGUGUGUGUUUGUG